rnacentral:tRNA from 2 species
GGCCUUAUAGUCAUUAAUGAUGUCAGACUGCAAUUCUGAAGGAGUAGAAGGACUACUAAGGCUU